rnacentral:sRNA from 1 species
CCCACGGCUGCCGCCGUGGGCUAGACUCUUUCGCCCCUUCGGGGCU